UACAGAGGUCCCGAGCGUUGUUCGGAUUCACUGGGCGUAAAGGGUGCGUAGGUGGCAUGUUAAGUUUGAUGUGAAAGCUCAGGGCUUAACCCUGAAAUGGCAUUGAAUACUAGCGUGCUGGAGGUUUGGAGGGGGGACUGGAAUUCUCGGUGUAGCAGUGAAAUGCGUAGAUAUCAGGAGGAACACCGGUGGCGAAGGCGGCUAUCUGGACAGAGUCUGACGCUGAGGCGCGAAAGCUAGGGGAGCAAACAGG
rnacentral:rRNA from 1 species